ACCGGAGUACUAUGAAUAAUAUAAAAAUUUAAAACUCAAAGAACUUGGCGGUGUUUUAGACCACUUAGGGGAACCUGUCUCGUAAUCGACAAUCCACGUUGUACCUGACCUUUUUUUGUUUUCAGUUUGUAUACCGUUGUCGUCAGGUAACUUUUUAGAAAGUAGAAGUUGGCUAUAGAAACAUGGUGAUUUAAGACGUCAAAUCAAGGUGCAGCUAAUAAAAAGGGGAGGAUGGGUUACAGUUAUACAGUUAUAAUUACGGAUACUUAUGUGGAACCAUGGGUUAUGAAGGAGGACUUGAAAGUAAAUUGAAUUAUGAAAGCAGUUUGAAUGAGGCUCUGAAACGUGU
rnacentral:rRNA from 1 species